UUGUUGAAACCCUUGAAUUCGGAAUAUGAGAAAGUCCCCUCGGGUUGGAUUACUCCUUUUAUGGGGGUCACAGUUGCUUUAUUGGCUAUAUUUCUAUAUAUCAUUUUAGAAAUUUACAAUUCUUCACUUUUACUGGACGGAAAUUCAACCAAUCAGGUCUCUACUAAAUUGAUUAGGCCUUCAACUUCUACUUCCGUUUAG
rnacentral:rRNA from 1 species